rnacentral:rRNA from 3 species
UAGGGGAACCACACCAAUCCUUGGUGGUUACACCAAUCCAUCCCGAACUUGGUGGUUAAACUUUACUGCGGUGACGAUACUGCAGGGGAAGCCCUGUGGAAAAAUAGCUCGAUGCCAGAAU